rnacentral:lncRNA from 1 species
CAUGUUGGCACUGAUGGUGGAGUUGGGGUAUGGACUGGUGGAGGAGAAGAGUGAACGGGUGGUGGUGGUGAGUAGACUGAGGUUGGUGGUGGUGGAGAGUGGACUGGUGGUGGAGGAGAAUGAACUGGUGGUGGUGGUGAGGACAAAAGGGGUGGAGGAGGAGAAUGAACUGGUGGAGGUGGUGAUGACACAAUGAGUGGAGGGGAAUGAACUGGUGGAGGUGGAGAGUAGACUGGAGGAGGUGGUGAGGAAACAGGGGGUGGAGGAGAGUGAACUGGUGGUGGUGGUGGUGGAGAGUGGACAGGGGGUGGUGGAGAGUGGACUGUUGGUGGUGGAGAGAGGACUGAUGGUGUUGGAGAGUGGACAGGGGGUGAAGGAGAGUGGAUUGUUGGUGGUGGAGAGAGGACUGAUGGUGUUGGAGAGUGGACUGGUGGUGGAGGAGAGUGGACUGGUGGUAGUGGAGAGUGGACUGGUGGUGGAGGAGAGUUGACUGGUGGUGGCGGAGAGUGGACUGGUGGUGGCGGAGAGUGGACAGGUGGUGGAGGAGAGUGGACAGGUGGUGGAGGAGAGUGGACUGGUGGUGGUGGAGACUGAACUGGGGGUAGAGGAGACUGAACAACGGGUGGAGGAGACUGAACUGGGGGUAGAGGAGACUGAACUGAGGGUGAUGGAGACUGAACUGGAGGUGGUGGAGAGAGGACAUAUGUAGGAGGUGUUUGAACAAUUAUAGGAGGAGGUGACACUGGUGAAAGUGAUGGUGGGAUAUCUUCAACGGGUGGGAGAAAUGGAGAUGGGUUUGCCUUUGGUGCUGGAGGUGAUUCAAUUUUUGGGGUUGGUAUUAGCUCUGUCUCAGGUGUUGGUGGUGGCUCAGCCUUUGGUGUAGGUGAGGAAGGAGUUGGCUUUGGUGUUGAAGGGAAAUUAGCACCAUUGCCACCACCACAUU